rnacentral:lncRNA from 1 species
UAAAAAUAAUAAGUAUAUUAAAAAAGAGUAAAAGGAGAGGUAUUUUGAAAUACCUCAUAUUCACUUCAUUUCAUCUUCUUCACUCUUCAUCAUUGCCAAGCCUCGAACCGUGUUUCACAAGGUUGAAGAAAUAAUUUCUAACCAAAUGACUUCACGGGAAACAGGCAACAUCAUUGGUCAUAUAUUAAAUUUAACUAUUAAUAUAUAUUUUCCAAAAUCCAGUAAAGCACUAGAGAGGUAUUCAAUGUAUUUGUUGUAUCCAAUGCAUUAG